UACGUAGGGUGCAAGCGUUAAUCGGAAUUACUGGGCGUAAAGCGUGCGCAGGCGGUUUUGUAAGUCUGUCGUGAAAUCCCCGGGCUCAACCUGGGAAUGGCAUUGGUGACUGUACGGCUAGAGUGUGUCAGAGGGGGGUAGAAUUCCACGUGGUAGCAGUGAAAUGCGUAGAUAUCGGGAGGAACACCAGUGGCGAAGGCGACUACCUGGCCUGUUCUUGACGCUGAGGCGCGAAAGCUAGGGGAGCAAACGGG
rnacentral:rRNA from 1 species